rnacentral:rRNA from 10 species
AGACCCGAAACCCGGUGAUCUAGCCAUGGGCAGGUUGAAGGUUGGGUAACACUAACUGGAGGACCGAACCGACUAAUGUUGAAAAAUUAGCGGAUGACCUGUGGCUGGGGGUGAAAGGCCAAUCAAACCGGGAGAUAGCUGGUUCUCCCCGAAAGCUAUUUAGGUAGCGCCUCGUGAAUUCAUCUCCGGGGGUAGAGCACUGUUUCGGCUAGGGGGCCAUCCCGGCUUACCAACCCGAUGCAAACUGCGAAUACCGGAGAAUGUUAUCACGGGAGACACACGGCGGGUGCUAACGUCCGUCGUGAAGAGGGAAACAACCCAGACCGCCAGCUAAGGUCCCAAAGUCAUGGUUAAGUGGGAAACGAUGUGGGAAGGCCCAGACAGCCAGGAUGUUGGCUUAGAAGCAGCCAUCAUUUAAAGAAAGCGUAAUAGCUCACUGGUCGAGUCGGCCUGCGC